rnacentral:rRNA from 1 species
CACGUAGGGGGCAAGCGUUGUCCGGAUUUAUUGGGCGUAAAGAGCUCGUAGGCGGCUCGGUAAGUCGGGUGUGAAAACUCGGGGCUCAACCCCGAGACGCCACUCGAUACUGCUGUGGCUUGAGUCCGGUAGGGGAGUGUGGAAUUCCUGGUGUAGCGGUGAAAUGCGCAGAUAUCAGGAGGAACACCGAUGGCGAAGGCAGCACUCUGGGCCGGUACUGACGCUGAGGAGCGAAAGCGUGGGGAGCAAACAGG